AAGUCGUAACAAGGUUUCCGUAGGUGAACCUGCGGAAGGAUCAUUAACACGUAUCCAACGUUAAACAACCCUGUGAACUUUAAGCCUGCCGGUCGGUGAUCGACCUCUGGCAACCGUGAGGCGUUAUCCUUACACAGUCAGUGACACUGUCAUUCACUAACUGCUUGGGGAAGCCAUGCCACUGCAUCUACCACUCAAUUGCAACUCCUUUUGGACAGAGGUCCCGAAUCAAAACUGUUUGGCAAUGAUUUACCGGGAUUGCUGUUCCUCAUGGGCUGCAAGAGUAGACAUGUCACAGGGCCACCGCGCCCCUUAAUCACUCCACUAGAAAAUGCCCCGCCUAGUGGUAACGCGCUAGGUAAAAAAAACCGAACAACUGUUAACAAUGGAUAUCUUGGUUCUC
rnacentral:misc_RNA from 1 species